AGUUUUCCUGGAGCAGGCGCUACGGCCCCACGCCCCUCAGACUCUUUCCUAUCAGACGCCGCAUGGGCGGGUCGGGGUCCCCCUGGCGGGCUGCUCGGGCGCUGCGCGAGCGGAGCCAAACUGCUCCCACCUGACACUGCGGACGCCCCCUCUGUCUACACCGCCUUAGGGCGUCUAACAGAUUUGUACCAAAUGUGGGUAAGGAUCACUUUAUGACUGCUGGCAAUCCAGGAGUUUCACAGUCAAAGGAACCUACUAGAUCCAGAAAGGGCAAAGGAUUGACAGUCGAGCACAUUCUGAUGAAUUGUACCCUUAGGGAAAAAAAGAAGAAAACCAAGAAGGCCUCUGAUACCAUCUAUGGGAAGGUCAGAAACCAUAAAUUUGUGAUAACAACUGUUUGUUCUUUUAUUCAAUAUAUUUCUCAUGAGUUCCUACUACUAGGAGCCAGGCUUUGUUCUGGGCCAACCGUCUGCACCAUUAAUGAUUUGGAUCCCACAGGGGGCAGAAAGUCACUGUAGACAAAGAAUAGCAACAGGAAAUGGUAAGUGCUGUAAAGAACAUAAAGCAGGGGAAGAGGCUGAGAGUGAUCCAGCGGAGGACCGUGGCUUUAUGUAGAGGUGUCAGUGAAGUCCUCUCUGGGAGCAGAUACUUGAGGGGAAUAUAUAAAGGGGAUAAGGCAGAGCCUUGACAAUAUGUGCAGCAGAGGCAGAUCAGGUUGAGGGGGCAGCAAAUGCAGGAAAACUCUGAGAUGGAAUAUUUUGGGUGUUUGGGGACCAACCAGAGGCCAGGAUGGCCAGGCAGAUGAGGGAGAGGGUGAAUGGUGACAGAUGAGAGAGGAGAGGAGUCUGGGACCGAGUGUCCAGGGCUCUGUAGGACUCAAGCUUCAGCUGCAAAUCACACCAUUUAAAGUUGUACCCUUAUCUCCUAUAACAAGCACAACGAUAGAAAUUGUGACUUGAGGGGCUCUUGACUGGCUCAAUCAGUGGAGCAUGUGACUCUUGAUCUCAGGGUCAUGAGUUCAAGUCCCAUGUUGGGUGUGGAGCCUACUAAAAAUAAAUAAAUAUAUAUAUAUAUUAUAUAUAUAUAU
rnacentral:lncRNA from 1 species